GCAUGGGCGGAUAUGCCAGAUCUUGAAGGAUACAGUUAAACUGGUACAGUGACUACAUCUGGAGACAAUAGUUAUUGUGUCAUUUGUAGACUUUGUGUACUAUAAAAAAAUGUUUUUGAAAAGUAAUGUAAGAAUUUCAAAGUCAAGAACAAAAGGCCAUUCUAGAUACUGGGCCCUCCCGGGGAAUCCCCCCUGGGUCUGGUUUCGUCCCACAAGGAUGAUGCUGGAAGCGUGGGCACCAGCCACUUAGACUUCGGUGAGACGUAAAAACCGUGCUGAAUUUGCUGUUGCCGUCACGGCCUUCUGUGAAAGUAAAUGGCAAGAAGCGCUCCUCUCCCACAACCCGUACCCUCCAGAGUGCGCUGCGGGUAAGCAGCAGACCUCUGCCGCAGCAGGGCCAGGGGUCUGGAGGGAAAGGUGUUCCGCUGCCACCUCGUGUGACUUGCCGAGUUUGCGUUUCUCCCCACAGUUGUCGAGCGCCUGACACUCGGGUGGGCCCAGGACAGCUCUGCCCUUUCUCUUCCUGCUAACGACUCGAUGGAGCCGCCUCUUUCAUGGGUGCUGCCCCUCUGAUGGGGUCAACACACAGAGGGCCGUCAGCCCAGGUAACAGGGCCAGCCCCAGUCACGUCUGAAUGUUGUCCCCUUGUCCAUCCUUAAACAUAGUAGUGUUGUUGUUGUUAGAUCCCGUGGGCCUGUCCCCUGAGCCUUCAGGGUUAUAGUUGGAAUCCUCAGAGAUGGGUGGCGGUGGGGUGGCCAGGGACUUCAAUAGAGCUCCCUAUCUCUGGUCACUGGACGCUGAAAUCUUCCUUCCAACAUGGUGUCUAUUGUGGCCUGAAAGAAAGAUGCUUUUGUGGAGGCGAGGAAAUCUGGUUAACUUUUCAUCUGUCUUCAGUGCCAGGCCAUCAGGGAAGUGCUCCUGGAAGUCCAGAGAAACACAGCAACACACUCUCCUCCACACAGAGCCCCUUUCACCCCAAGGCACUUGUCAGACUAUGUAUGGGGAUUACCUCACCUCCCUCUUUGGGGUGGAAGGCGACAGCUGUCCACUUCCCAGAUGCUUUGCAUAUCCAUUUGAGAGGAAGUGAGGGGGCGUUGGGGGUGAUGGGGUGUAUUAUCUAAGCUGGACCCAGGCCAGUGUGAAUUGUGGAACCAACGAGUGCACGGCCCCUUGCCCUCGGCUUUCCAGCUCACCAGGAAGAUGGCGACAAACCAUUAGGAGGCUGAGCACAGGAGGAAGGAAAGGACAGGCUGUGAGGGUUAGUGGCCUCCUUGGAGCUGGGGCCAGAGUGACCUUACAGUGGAGAAAUUGAAGUGGGCAGGGUCGCGUUAUCAGGCGCCUUGGAGGUCAUGGUGUGUUUUAGAAGGAAUUGCCUUCCAAGUGAGAGUGUUAGUUAAUUGUCGUGAACUUGAAGGGACAGGUGUGCAACCAUUCCCAACAGGAUUCAUCUUGGGUGAGAGCAGAUCCACUGUGGCCCUUAUUUGCCACUGGCCCACUGAAUGAUUUUCCUGUAGCCAGACUGGCCCCCUCCUGGGGUGUCUCUCAGGAAAGUCAGGCAUGCCAAGGGACAGACCUCCAAGCUGAUUUCCCCAGCACCUCAGCAGAUUUAGCCAAAAGCCUCACUGAGAAUUCACUGAGAAAGAUUUUGGCGCUCUCCUUGUCUAAGCCCUCUCUUCCUCUUCCUCCAUUUUACUGAUGAGGAUGCCACAGCCCAGGGAGACAUGGGCUGGGACAAGGACCUGGAUCACCUGACCAGUCACAUGCCAUCCCUGUCCUGCUUGUGUGGGCACUCCCCCUGUCCACCGGCAUCCUGUGUGUCUGGGUGUGCCCUUUUUGUAGAGAGCAGUGAGAUGUGAGAGAAUGUCCCCCUGGGUGGCUGGGCCAGGCCAGACCCCACUGCCGGAGAGAUCUCAAGGCCAGACUCGGCUCUGUCUCCACAGUGAGGCCUUGCCUGGUUGUCCCCUCAUGGCUGCAUGUUAGCUUACCUUCAGCGCUGAGGUGAAGAGUGAAAAGCUUGUAGGGCAAAGGUUUCUAUUUCACUAAUGGAUCAUAAAAGUAGCCUGUGUUCAUGGGAAAUAUAAACCACAAAAAUAAUAUAAAGUCAGACAGAAGCCCCAGUUCCCAUUUCUGAUCUGAAGGCAUUUGAAGGGGCUAGGCCAAGUUUUACCUGCUUUACGGGUAUUUGUUUUACUGAAUUAUCGCAGCACUGGAACAGGAACCAUUCUCGUUUUACAGAUGAGAAGACCAAGGCACAGAGAUGAGUGUUCCUGAGCUCACACAGUGAUGCCCCCCUUGGCGGAAGCAGAUUUCAGACUCAGGCUGUUCAACCCCCGCGCUGGGCUCUUAAAUCACUUGACUUCUUUGACCUGCUGUUUCCUCCUCAGCAAAAUCAGCCUGAUGGGGAAAACACAUGAAGUGUGCCUCAGAGCUGGGCUGGAAGAGAUGCCUAUGAGCGAGAUGUGUUGUUUUCACACAACAAAAAGCUAUACAGCAACGAAAAGGGACAAAUUGCAGCUACAGGUGCAGCAGCAGAGGAAGCAUAUGACUCCCGUGCAUGGUGAAGACAGCAAGAGCCUGCAAAUACGGAGUCCUGUAAUGCAAACCACGAGUGCCUCUGAGCUGUGGUAGGCGCACUCCAAAUCGCAAAUCCGCAAGGCAUUGCACAUCUGGAUGGAGCACGAGCCUUGGAAAAAUUGUGCCUCUUGGUAUCCAUGGUGUCUGAAGCAAAGCAAAACAGUAUGUGAAGGGUGGGAUAUGGAAACACGGUGGCUGGAGCCCCUUAUUAAGGGGUGUCGAAUGUCACUGACAGCCGCUGCCCUUCUACUGCAUGAAGGUAAUAAAUAUUAACAGGGACUCUCACGAGUUCUCUCAUCACUUGGGUCUCCCCCAGCUGUCUCCAUCAAGUCUUAAGUUGUGAAUCCUCCUGGCAGUUGGGAGGGAAAUACAGUAAAUUCAGUCGAUAUAGUAGAAUAGGCCUGUGCACACAGUAGCCCCUGGGUUCCAAGGCCCCCUCCAAAGCUGCCCCCACCCCAAGGCUGCCCUCAUGUUCACUUGAAGUCUGAAGAACAGAAGCCUUCCAAGCCUCUUUUUUUGGUAUUGGAAACCUACCUAUGCCAACAUGUCAGGUUCUUGGUGACUGUCGGGAGCCCCCGCCUAGGAGAGGUAGUGGGAAGCCACAGUUCUCCCCCUCCGAGCUGGCUACCGGGAGGUGUGCUGCUGGGAAAGCAAAUCUCAGACCCCACGUGCGACAGCGACUAGGGAGCACGUGAAAAAGACUCCUGCCACCGAAAGCUUGGCAAAGCGUCUGUUCGCUCUCUGCAGAUGCACGUCCAUGGGGAACAGGAGGAUGGGUGGCAGGGGAGAGCAGAAUCCCCCGGGAAUCUGCUGCUAAGGGUCUGCGGGUGGGGACGGGGGCAGUGAACUCCCUACAGGAGUUCCAGACUCAAACCUUCUGCAGAUCUUAGGUGGUUGGGCCUGCCAAGUUCUCAUGCCCCAAGUCUACUGGGGACAGAGGUACCUAGAUAACAUUUCUGGCCACUCACAUAUUUGGACUGGAUUCAUUUCACCAACGACGAAGUUAUAAUGACAGGGAGUAGAGAUUCAUUCCCGGAGGUUGUGCUCACUUUGGUCCGUGUGCUGGCACAGGGGAAGGGGAGCGGAGAUACUCAACACAAGUUCCUUACCAGCCCCGGGCCGGCCCCGGCCCCAGGGAAUCCCAGCAACCCCAAAUAAGGGAAAUGAAGAACCUCAAGCUGCUUUAGGCAGCAAACCCCACAGGGGCCACCAGCCUUUGCUGUGGGAAGAGGGCAUUAGCUGUCCCCUUGAGUCCCACUUGCUCGGGGAAGCUGUUGAGGCCUGAAGGGAGCUUCAGGUCACCUCACGUUCCCCAGAAGGCUGAGUUUACAUGGUGUGGGGAACCCAGGGUGGCUGCCACCUUCCCCUCCCACUGGGGGCUCCGUGAGCCUCAGAGGCACCAGCAUCCAGAAGCUCUCCAAACCCCAUACUUCAGGGAUUUUUAUGGAGGCCUUACUAUGGGGAUGAACCCAGGGGAUGGGUGGGGGGAAGUGCUGAACAUCCCAGGCUUCUGACCAUGCUUGGUCUUUCAGGUCACCAACCCCUGUGCUGAAGGUAGCCAGGAAGGAGCCUGCCAAGAGUCACUUCAUUAGAGCAAAAGAUAUUCCCAUCACCCAGGAAACUCCAAGGGAUUUGGGAGCUCUGUGUCAGGAAGCAAAGGCAAACAAGAGAUGCUCCUAGCACCUUAACGGAGUAGGAAAUUCCAAAGGUUUUGGGAGUUCUGGCCAGGAGCUGGGUUCAAACACCAAAAUAUAUAGUUCUUCUGCCAUCAUAACAUCACAUUGUAACAAGGAGUUCAUGGCUGUGCAAAAUCCCCUGGGGAGCCCGGCUGCAAUUUUCUAGGUGCACAGACCUUUAAAAAAUGAAGUCGAUUUAAAAUCCAUGCUAAUACAGUAGCAGGAAGCUUCUAGCAGUCUGUGGCUAUUUAAAUUACAUUUCAUUUAAUUUAAAUUUAAAGGAAAAUUCAAUUCUUUUGUUGUACUAGCCACUUUUCAAGCGCUCUGUAGCUGGCUAAUGACCACCAUAUUGGUCAGUGCAGAUAAAGAAAAUUUUAAUUGGACAAUGCUGUUUUAAAUGCCUUCACUAAAACAAUAAGACUUUAUCACCAUCAAAGAAAAAAUAGUUUCAAUGUAGUAUAAUCGUGUUUUUAAGAACAGAUUUGAACAGGCUUCCCAAAUGUAAUUGUGCAUAAGAAUCAUCUAGGGAAUCUUGUAAAAAUUCACGUUCUGAUUCUGCAGGUCUGGGGUGAGGCCCUAGAUUCUGCAUUUCUAGUAAGCCCACAGGUCAUGCUAAUGCUGCUGGUCUUUGGACCAUCCUUUUGGGCAGUGAGGGAUCACUGGAUUAAUUAAAAAACACCCAGGGUACAUUUUAGUGAUGAACCUUGGGAAUGGGAAGCAAGUUCGAAAUUGCAUCAUGAGUGAUGAGCGUCAUCUUUCACUCCUGGCCAGAUACCUUGGCCGCUGUCGACUUCAUUCAGACAGUAUGUCUCAAGCCUAAAUUUCAGGCCUGUUGUUAGGCCCCGCCCAAAGGCCCGUUUCCCAGAGUGAUAGGUCCUGGCGUCAGGAACAGCUUCCCUCUUAGGGCCCCAUCAGGCCAAAAGGCCCCGGCUCCCCCGGGAAUCAAGGCGACUUGCCAUGACAGCUGCCGGGGACAGCUCGUCUCAGAACAGUGAACUGGAUGCCUUGUCUCAGCCUCUCCUUUAUUUCUUGUCUUUUUUUCAAAUGUAAAAAUAGAGAAGUUCAAAGCCCCCAUAUUCCCACCGCCCCAAAUUACCACCGUUACAAUUUGUCACAUAUUCCUUCCAGUGCGUCCCACGUAUGUUGUUGAUUCAGUGGCCUGAGAUGAACAUAGCCGCCGAGUGUUCACACCUGGUGUGGUGCUGGCCCUGUGACUUACCUAACUACGGGAUGUGGCGGAGGUGAUGCUGUGCCAGCCCUGAGGCAAAGACUUGAGGAAGCCUGACAGUUUCUGGGUUUUCACUGAUGGAAGCUCUUUGUGCCCAGCCACUCUGCUGGAGUGAUCACAUUGGCGACUGCGUGGAGAGACAGCCGGACGAGGACUGACCAGGAGGCCCAGCCUACGCGGAGACACAAGGCCUCGGCUUGCAGCUGAGUGAGGCUACCCAGGUGGCUCCCAGCAAGACCAGCCAAGGGACUGCCCCAGAGAGCUCAGCCAAGGUGGAAGAACCAGGAGCAAAUAAAACGGCAGACCUUCCCAGCACCUCCUUCCCAGCAGAAACCACGUUUGGUGGAGACCAUACCCUCUGGUGGCAUCUACCCUUCUUCUCCGUGGGAUCACAAGCAGGUGAGAGCACUUUGGGGCAGAAGAAGCCAAGCGGCCAGAGGUUAUCCCCUUCCCUCUAGGGCUUACCAUGGUGGGCUUGAACCCUGGCUCUACCACUUACCAGCCCUGUGAACUCAGGCCAUAAAGUGGGCCUCCCUGAGCCUUCCCAUUUACAGAAACAGGAAUUACGAUAGUGAUAAGCCCCUCCUAGGGCUUUGGUGGGGAUCCCCAGAAACUGGAUGGACUGUCUUAGGGCAGGACCCGGCACCCACGGGUGUUGUCAUGGUGACUGUUCUUGCCCUGUUUCAUCAUCCUCACGGACAUCAUCCGGGUUGGCCACCCUCUAGGGGAUCUGUGUGCCUGCCUUCACAGAGGGCUCCAGAAGGGGCUUCACGAAGAGGAGAAAGGAAGAAAUCCUCACCAGGGAGGGAGGUGGAGGUUCCCAGAAGUGCAAGGAGGAGGGAGGAGCCCACUGGAUUGUAAGCCCCGAGAGGGCAAGGCCUGCAUCCAUUUCUUCCCUGCUGUGUCCCCAGCACUGAGGACAGUGCCUGGCACAGGUUUGGUGCUCAGAGCACAUUUUUUUCAAUGAAUGCAUGGACUUUUGAGCGGAUCACUGUGUCCCUGGAAUGUGAACCUGCCCUGGGCUUCUGGCUGGAGAUAAUUGGGUGCUGAAUUGUUGACUGGUUGGUGAUACAGGACUCAGCCUUCAAAUUCCUGUGCCUGGAAUUUGAUCAUGGAAAUACAGAGAGCAGGGCAGUUAGCAGUAAGGGCUCAGGAAGCAGAAGUGAGAAAUGGGGUGGAGUUGGUCCUUCCAAGGGCGAGGCAACCCGGGCACCCUGGGGGAGAGCGGCUCUCCAGUUCCCAGGCGCCCCUCCAUCUUCCCAGCUACUUAAGUGGUCAGAGGAGGAAAGUGAGAGGGAGGAGCAGGGUGCUCCCCCCCAUCCGAGAGACCCUCCACCACAGGGAGCUCAUUCCCCUUCAUCUGCAGGCCCCUCACUGAGCCCUGCUAUGCACUGGCCUUGGCACUUGGGGCCAGGGCAGAACCACAGCCCUUCAGAGUGGCCUCUGUGGUAGGUAGGAAUCCAGACAGGGCAAGAGGAGAGGGAGCACUUCUUGGAGGAGUCCAUGUCUACUGUCUGCAGUGGUUGCUGAAGGGUGGAACAAGUUGGCCAGGGAAAAGAACAGGCAAUGACUUUCGAGGCAGAAGGAACAACGUGGGCAAAGGCCCAGAGAUUGGAGAGGGCCUGGCCAGUUUGGGGAACAGCAGGACAUUCCAUGUGGCCAGACCACGAGUGGGGGUGGGGGGCGGUG